AACGANUGCUAAUACCGCAUACGCCCUACGGGGGAAAGCRGGGGACCUUCGGGCCUUGCGCGAUUGGAUAUGCCCNGGUGGGAUUARCUUGUUGGUGAGGUAAUGGCUCACCMMGGCGACGAUCCCUAGCUGGUCUGAGAGGAUGAUCAGCCACACUGGAACUGARACACGGUCCAGACUCCUACGGGAGGCAGCAGUGGGGAAUAUUGCACAAUGGGGGAAACCCUGAUGCASCCAUGCCGCGUGUGUGAAGAARGCCUUCGGKUUGUAAAGCACUUUCAGCGAGGAGGAAAGGUUGAURCCUAAUACGUAUCAGCUGUGACGUUACUCGCAGAAGAAGCACCGGCUAACUCCGUGCCAGCAGCCGCGGUAAUACC
rnacentral:rRNA from 1 species